UCUCAGUACAAGCCGAACUAAGGCGAAACCGCAAAAGGCUCAUUAAAUCAGUCUUGGUUCAUUGGACGGUACAAUCCACUAGUUGGAUAACUGUGGUAAUUCUAGAGCUAAUACAUGCAACGAGGCUCCGACCGGCGACGGAAGGGGCGCUUUUAUUAGAUCAAAACCGACGGACGUCCGGCCGCCUAACGGCGGUCGGCUCGCCCGCUCGACUUGGUGACUCUAGGUAACUACGAAGCGGAUCGAACGGCCUCAGAGCCGGCGACGCGUCCUUCGAAUGUCUGCCUUAUCAACUUUCGAUGGUCGGUUACGCGCCUACCAUGGUCGUAACGGGUAACGGGGAAUCAGGGUUCGAUUCCGGAGAGGGAGCCUGAGAAACGGCUACCACAUCCAAGGAAGGCAGCAGGCGCGCAAAUUACCCACUCCCGGCACGGGGAGGUAGUGACGAUAAAUAACGAUACGGGACUCAUCCGAGGCCCCGUAAUCGGAAUGAGUGUACUCCAAACACUUGUACGAGUAUCGAUUGGAGGGCAAGUCUGGUGCCAGCAGCCGCGGUAAUUCCAGCUCCAAUAGCGUAUAUUAAAGUUGUUGCGGUUAAAAAGCUCGUAGUUGGAUCUGUGUCCCGCACCGUCGGUUCGCCGCCCGUCGGCGUUAACCGGCGCGCUCGCGGGACGUCGUGCCGGUGGCGGCGUCCCGCGUCCGGCGCGUAGGGGUCGGUUCGGCCGGUUCUCGGUCGCGCCCGCUCCGAAGCGCGUUCUCGGGCGUCGGGGCCCGCCGUUCUAGUCCCGUCGCGGUGCUCUUCGCCGGGCGCCGAGGCGGGCCGGCAGGUUUACUUUGAACAAAUUAGAGUGCUCUAAGCAGGCGCUGAAACACCGCCUGCAUGUUGCGCGCGUGGAAUAAUGGAAUAGGACCUCGGUUCUGUUUUGUUGGUUUUGCGGAACCCGAGGUAAUGAUCAACGGAGACGGACGGGGGCAUUCGUAUUGCGACGUUAGAGGUGAAAUUCUUGGAUCGUCGCAAGACGGACCGGAGCGAAAGCGUUUGCCAAGCACGCUCUCGUCGAUCAAGAACGAAAGUUAGAGGUUCGAAGGCGAUCAGAUACCGCCCUAGUUCUAACCAUAAACUAUGCCUGCCAGCGAUCCGCCGAAGUUCCUCCGAUGACUCGGCGGGCGGCUUUCCGGGAAACCAGAGCUUUUGGGUUCCGGGGGAAGUAUGGUUGCAAAGCUGAAACUUAAAGGAAUUGACGGAAGGGCACCACCAGGAGUGGAGCCUGCGGCUUAAUUUGACUCAACACGGGAAAACUCACCAGGCCCGGACACCGGAAGGAUUGACAGAUUGAGAGCUCUUUCUUGAUUCGGUGGGUGGUGGUGCAUGGCCGUUCUUAGUUGGUGGAGCGAUUUGUCUGGUUAAUUCCGAUAACGAACGAGACUCUAGCCUGCUAACUAGGCGUACCCGGUAUCUCGCGCUACCGGCGAUACAUUUUCUUCUUAGAGGGACAGGCGGCUUCUAGCCGCACGAGAUUGAGCAAUAACAGGUCUGUGAUGCCCUUAGAUGUCCUGGGCCGCACGCGCGCUACACUAAAGGAAUCAGCGUGUCUUCCCUGCCCGAGAGGGCCGGGUAACCCGCUGAACCUCCUUUGUGCUAGGGACUGGGGCUUGCAAUUGUUCCCCACGAACGAGGAAUUCCCAGUAAGCGCGGGUCAUAAGCCCGCGUUGAUUACGUCCCUGCCCUUUGUACACACCGCCCGUCGCUACUACCGAUUGAACGAUUUAGCGAGGUCUUUGGACCGGACCGGGGAGGCCGCUCGCGCGGUCACCGACGGCGCCGGGAAGUUGACCGAACUUGAUCGUUUAGAGGAAGUAAAA
rnacentral:rRNA from 1 species